CCUACGGGAGGCAGCAGUGAGGAAUAUUGCUCAAUGGGCGCGAGCCUGAACCAGCCAAGUAGCGUGAAGGAUGACUGCCCUACGGUUGUUAAACUCUUUUUAUAAAGGAAUAAAUUGAGGCACGUGUGCCUAUUGGUAUUUACGUUAUGAAUAAGGAUCGGCUAACUCCGUGCCAGCAGCCGCGGUACGACGGAGGAGCCGAGCGUUAUCCGGAUUUAUUUGGUUUAAAGGGAACGUAGGUGGGCUGUUAAGUUAGUUGUGAAAGUCUGGGGCUUAACCGUAAAACUGCAAUUGAUACUGGCAGCCUUGAGUACAGUAGAGGUAGGCGGAAUUCGUGGUGUAGCGGUGAAAUGCUUAGAGAUCAGGAAGAACUCCGAUGGCGAAGGCAGCCUACUAAAC
rnacentral:rRNA from 1 species